ACGAACGCUGGCGGCGUGCUUAACACAUGCCAGUCGAACGGAAAGGCCCUGCUUGCCGGGUACUCGAGUGGCGAACGGGUGAGUAACACGUGGGUGAUCUGCCCUGCACUUCGGGAUAAGCUUGGGAAACUGGGUCUAAUACCGGAUAGGACCGCACUUUAGUGUGUGUGGUGGAAAGUUUUUUCGGUGUAGGAUGAGCUCGCGGCCUAUCAGCUUGUUGGUGGGGUAAUGGCCUACCAAGGCGGCGACGGGUAGCCGGCCUGAGAGGGUGUACGGCCACAUUGGGACUGAGAUACGGCCCAGACUCCUACGGGAGGCAGCAGUGGGGAAUAUUGCACAAUGGGCGCAAGCCUGAUGCAGCGACGCCGCGUGGGGGAUGAAGGCCUUCGGGUUGUAAACUCCUUUCGCUAGGGACGAAGCUUUUUGUGACGGUACCUAGAGAAGAAGCACCGGCUAACUACGUG
rnacentral:rRNA from 1 species